AAAACCGUCAGUAGCGCACCAGACGUGACAUAAAACGGUCGAGCUCCAACCCGCUAGCAACUGGUCCCGCGUACAGUGAUAAAAAUCGUACCGUAAUUUAUUACCAUUCCAUCAGCUGUUUCGUGUUGUUUUACAAGUCAUGCGUAGCUAACACGCAACAAUGGAGAUCGUAAACGGUUCAUCGCCGUCCCUUAGGGUGCGCGGUGUUAAUGUUUAUAGUGAAAAUAAUAAGCGUGAGUUGAUCUUGUGCCCCAGUGUGAUGUCGCCGGAGACCAAAAGACUGUUGCCACCUACUACAGAGACUAUUAUGACCAAGCCGUUCCCUAUUCGAGGGGAACGAGCCAACUAUGUAAACAUACCCCAUGUGAUAGCUAUGGUGGGGCUCCCGGCGCGCGGGAAGACCUACAUCUCAAAGAAACUCUCCCGAUACCUAAACUGGAUAGGAAUCAACACUAGGGUUUUCAACUUGGGUGAGUACCGCCGGCACGCCACGACGGCGUACACCAGCCACGAGUUCUUCCGCGCGGACAACAAGGAAGCCAUGGCGAUCAGGCAGCAAUGUGCCUUGGACGCCUUACACGACGUCUGCCAAUGGCUGGUCAAGGGAGGCGAAGUAGCUGUGUUCGAUGCCACAAACUCGACAUUGGACAGGCGGCGCAUGAUCCGCGACAUUGUUGUUCACAAGAUGGGUUUCAAACUGUUCUUUGUCGAGUCAAUUUGUGAUGAUCCAACUAUAAUUGAGCAGAACAUUAUGGAAGUGAAAGUGAGCAGCCCCGACUACACAAACAUCAAAAACACUGACAACGUACUAAAUGACUUCCUACUACGGAUAGAGCAUUACAAGGAAAAAUACGAGCCCCUAGACGAGAACGUAGAGUCCGAGUACAGUUUCAUGAAGAUCUACGACACCGGCGAGAAGGUGGUGGUGCACAAACACGAGGGGCACAUACAGAGCCGCAUCGUGUACUAUCUCAUGAACAUACACAUCGUGCCGAGGACCAUAUACUUGACUAGGCACGGCGAAAGUCUCCACAACAUGGUUGGUCGCAUAGGCGGCGACAGCGACCUGUCUCCUCGCGGCAAGCAGUACGCCUCGGCCCUGGCCGGCUACAUCGACCAGCAGCAGAUCCCGGGGCUGAGGGUCUGGACGUCCUGGAUGAAGCGGGCCAUCCAGACGGUCAAGGACGUGAAGGCACCCCAGGAGAGAUGGAAGGCUCUGAACGAAAUUGAUGCGGGGAUCUGUGAAGAAAUGACAUACGCGGAGAUCCAGGAGAAAUACCCGUCGGACUUCAACGCCCGGGACGCCAACAAGUUCGCGUACCGCUACCCGCGCGGCGAGAGCUACGAGGACCUGGUGGCGAGGCUGGAGCCCGUCAUCAUGGAGCUGGAGCGGCAGGGCAACGUGCUGGUCGUCUCCCACCAGGCGGUCAUGAGGUGUCUGCUGGCGUAUUUCCUGGACAAAUCUGCUGAGGAGCUUCCAUACCUCCAUGUGCCGCUGCACACUGUCAUCAAGCUGACUCCAGUAGCGUACGGCUGCCGCGAGGAGCACAUAAAGCUGUCUGUCGCCGCCGUGGACACGCACCGCCCCAAGCCUUCUGGCUCCACCGAGGAUGGCCCGUCACCAGAUACGUACGCAAAGAAUGGCGCAUGACCAUAAACAACAUAGAGUAGACCAUAGACUAACAUAGCAUGACAUAGAUUAGUAAUCGGAGUACCAGAAUGAUAAGGUGAUACCAGCCCCUCCAAUAAAACCGCCAGUCCCUCCGGUCUUGAACGGCACCAACAAUGAAAAAACCGAAGAAAACGCUCACUAACGGGUCAAGAUUUGCGCGCGAAAACACGACCAAUGCUUAUGACGUUCGAGUUUUGAAAUAAUAAAAAAAAUGUGUUUAUGACGGAGUCGGAUUUUGAGACUGAUUGAGGCAAUCUAGCCUUUUACAUUUGGAACUCGAUCAUACGAUUGAGAUGUGAAUGUUUGCCCAUUAUUCUUCUAGUUGAGAGUUUGCGCGGGUUCACCACAGACAGUUUUUUUUUUUUUUUAAUAUAUUUCGACAUUGUGAUUAACAUCACAAACAUCCAAAGUUGCUUUGUAGGUACUAUUUUUAUUUGAUUAAGACGUAAUGUUAUUUUGAUGUAAAUAUUUAAAGUAGGUAUAUUUUUAGUAGAAUUUGUAGCAAUGAACUAAAUAAUUUUUAAUUAGUUUAUGUGACUUUAUUUAAUAAGGCUCUAAGUUAAGGAAUCCGAAGACAAAGAUAGAAUUAUUGUUGAUUUAAAAAUAUUAUGCUAUCAAUAUAAAUGAAAUUAUUUUUUAUGACAGAAUGUGUGUUUGUGAGUGGUGCACCCGCUCCACACUCAUAUAUUUUUGUAAAAUAACUCCUUUUAUCCACUCCUUAUCAUUCAAUAAUAUUGUUAUACAUCAUAUACUGUACGUGUAGAAUUUUUACGAAAGGUCUAUGUAUAUUGAUAAGUUAAUUUGUAUUUAAUAUAGUUUAAUUAAGUGGG